rnacentral:lncRNA from 1 species
UGGGGUAAUCCGAGGCUUGACACAAUCGUUUCUACAGCACGUGAGUUCCAACAGAUUAAAGGAAGAUUAAGUAGUCUUACACUCACCUUAAGCUUUAGUUGAUUAGGUACUCCCCCCCUUAGCUGAUCCCAAUGAUUAACUUGUAGUGUGAAACCGUUUCCUAUAAUUCGGCCUCCAGUCAUUAGCUGAUGAACUAUAUCCGUUGAAGGACAGGCCACAAAAAAGGUAUUAGGUUCGGCAAGUCUGUCACGCCCCGAACCCAACAUCCGGAUCGGAUACGUGAUGGCCGCAUACUCCUUAGAGCAAGCC